UACGGAGGAUGCGAGCGUUAUCCGGGUUUAUUGGGUUUAAAGGGUGCGUAGGCGGACGCUUAAGUCAGCGGUAAAAUUGCGGGGCUCAACCUCGUCGAGCCGUUGAAACUGGGUGCCUUGAGUGGGCGAGAAGUACGCGGAAUGCGUGGUGUGGCGGUGAAAUGCAUAGAUAUCACGCAGAACUCCGAUUGCGAAGGCAGCGUACCGGCGCCCUACUGACGCUGAAGCACGAAGGCGUGGGUAUCGAACAGG
rnacentral:rRNA from 1 species